rnacentral:lncRNA from 1 species
UGAGCUAAUUGGUCAGUGAUGUCUUCGGUAAAUAUGAAGCUAAUAAUAAACUGAGUUUACAAAAAGCUCCUGCCGUCUUGUAAAACCUCAGUCUCGUAGAUGUUCAGACUAGGUCGAAAAGCUCAACCACACACACAGACAGCGGAGAAGCUGAAAACAAGAACCAGACGGAAAUAUGUUCAUCCUUCAUAGAAUGGCUUCCUCUGUUCCCUCCAUCGUCCCUUUCUCGCUUAUACUCCCAAAACCACCACCGCCACUACCGCCACUUCUUCCCUUCGUUCACCGCCGCUUCCACUUGCCGUCGGAGUUCUUCUCAGUCAAAAGAAAUGGCGGCGCCCGUUUCCUUUCUACCGUCUCCGUUGCCACCGAGUCUGCAGUUGUUGCUUCCAGUGAGGAAGAAGAGGGGAUACAGAAGGGGGAAGUGACUGAAAGAGUUGUGCUUCCCACUAACGACUCUUC